UACGUAGGGUGCAAGCGUUAAUCGGAAUUACUGGGCGUAAAGCGUGCGCAGACGGCUUUGCAAGACAGAUGUGAAAUCCCCGGGCUCAACCUGGGAACUGCAUUUGUGACUGCAUGGCUAGAGUACGGUAGAGGGGGAUGGAAUUCCGCGUGUAGCAGUGAAAUGCGUAGAUAUGCGGAGGAACACCGAUGGCGAAGGCAAUCCCCUGGACCUGUACUGACGCUCAUGCACGAAAGCGUGGGGAGCAAACAGU
rnacentral:rRNA from 1 species